CGGGUGAGUAACGCGUGGGUAACCUACCCUGUACACACAGAUAACAUACCGAAAGGUAUGCUAAUACGGGAUAAUAUAUUUGAGAGGCAUCUCUUGAAUAUCAAAGGUGAGCCAGCACAGGAUGGACCCGCGUCUGACUAGCUAGUUGGUAAGGUAACGGCUUACCAAGGCGACGAUCAGUAGCCGACCUGAGAGGGUGAUCGGCCACAUUGGAACUGAGACACGGUCCAA
rnacentral:rRNA from 1 species